GACAGCUCAGCAGACUUCACUUUCACUAUAUCACAACUUCUGGUUCUAAAUAUUAGAGUCUGUGUGUGUCAGGAUACAGAGUUGAUUCAACUAAAGGCAGGUCUGCUGGAGGCUGAGAAACUAGACACAGAGGCACGACUGCAACCUCUUACCGAAUCCCUAGAGCUCUGCCAACACAAGUACCAGGCCUGCCUCAGCAAGAUCACACAACAAGAGAACACUCUGCAUAGCCACGAGGAGGACCUGAAAGAGGCCCACAAUCAGGUGGCAAAGAGGGAAGAGCAGGUCCUCCGUCUGAGGGCUCAGGUUGUAGCUCAGCAGGUACACUGCGCCCAGCUGGAGAGUGGAGACGAUGCCCUCACCGCUCUGAGCCAGCAGCUCCGAGACACGCUGGGAGAACUGGAGCACAGUCGUAAACACAGCCAGGAGUGUGAGCUGCUCAUCAGCACUCUCAGAGACACUGCUGCUACCCGUCUCUGACAGAGGUGCAGCGACUGCAGGAGCAGGUGAGAAAGCUCCAGGUGGAUGCAGCAGAUGAGGGCUGGAGACAAGCACAAGUUGAUUCUCUGGAACAGAAGGUAGCUAGUCUGGAAGGAGAACUACUGGCAGCUCAAAGGCAGUGUGACCAGGUAAACAAUGUAUGUAUAGAUCAGAUACACUUUGCCUGUGGCAGAUUCUCACAGUCACUCUCUCUCGCGACUUCGCAUGUUAGUGGAGGUGUGUGUGUGUUUGUCCUCAGGCACUGUUCCAGUCACUGGAGCGCUGUGGUCAGAGCGCCCAGGAGUUGCGGGUCUGCCAGCUGGAGUUGGCACGGCACCGAGAUGCCAGUACGGGAGGCGAGUGAACUCGCAGUUCACUUUCUUUCUCGAUUCUCACACUGAUUCCAAUCAGCUGUGUGUUUUGCAGAGGUGCAGCGACUGCAGGAGCAGGUGAGAAAGCUCCAGGUGGAUGCAGCAGAUGAGGGCUGGAGACAAGCACAAGUUGAUUCUCUGGAACAGAAGGUAGCUAGUCUGGAAGGAGAACUACUGGCAGCUCAAAGGCAGUGUGACCAGGUAAACAAUGUAUGUAUAGAUCAGAUACACUUUGCCUGUGGCAGAUUCUCACAGUCACUCUCUCUCAGGCUAUCCAAAAGAGAGACGCCCUACUUAGACAAUCCGAGGCUGAUCUUCUGCAGGCGUGGGAGAAGAUCCGAAGCAAGGCGGCGGAGGCAGAGAGACAGGCCGUCUCUGCUCGAGGGCUAGAAGCUGAUCUGUAGAAACCCAAGAAAGAGAAAAGGCGAAGGGAGAAAGAGUGCGCCUCACUCAAAACACAGAUGCUUCAGCUCAGAGAACAACUGAAGGAGGCUUACACCACCCGUAGAGACAUGGGUAACACAGAGCAGAACACAUGUAGAACUUUUAUUGUGGAUUGCCAUGAUGUAAAUAAUUCUUAAAGCCGCAGAGUAUACUUUAAACUCUUACGAGAUUGGCUGAAACUGCAAAUACAGCAGCCCCAAGAAGUAUUUGGACACCUAAGCCAAAAUUGGUGCUGGGUAGAUUACUUAUACAUUGAAGUCAGUUAAUGAGAGCAAAUUGCAUGAAAAAAAAAAAAUGUUUUUAUUAACAUAAACAAUUUUUUAUUACUUUAAGAUUACUUUGGGCCAAACUUGUUUUAUCACAUUAAUUUGAAUAGGAUAAUCCAUAUUGUACCAUAUUGAUAUUAAAAUACAAAGAAAAUAAAUCCCAUUCUUUGUUAUCAACAACAUGAAGGGUUUUCCAAACAGUGGUUUUCUUGAAGAUACUGCAAGGGUUUAUGAAUUAAUUGAAAUUUAAUUAUUAAUUAAAUCACAAAAAAAACAAUUUAACAAUGUAAAUGUAAAAUUAAAAUAAAAUAAAUAAAUAAAAACAAAUCAAAAUAAAAUACACAUAAAAAGGAUUCAUUAUUUUAUUUGUUUAUUUGCAUGUUAUGUGACCAUUAAACAUCAGACAGAUCCAUUAACCCACAAAUCUAUUAUUACACACUAAACUACACCUGUGCUUACUCUGAUAGGACACAUUCUUUAAAAACAAUCUUGGGGCCAGGUGAUUAAAAUUAUUUUUUUAAAUGGCUCAGAAAAGUACAUUUUGUUCCAAGAAAGCUUGUUUCUUGCGUUUAACAUCAAAUAUGGUAGAUGGAAACUCAAAUGUGUUUGCUUGACCCACAAGAACAAACCAUGGGAAUUCAUGCUGGUAAUUUUAGCACGGCAAUGAUUUCCUCUUGAUUUUGCAAGAGAAAAGCCAUUGCUUUUAAAUCUGUGUGGUUUUGUCAGAAUAUGCAUGUGCACCUGUUUGUGUUCUUCAGCAGUCUCCUGUCUGAAAUGAAACAGCCCAUCAAUUCAGAGCCUCAAGACAUCAGCUGCAUGCACAUCUUCACACACACCACUGUGGGAAUGAUGCUCGUUAGAAACAAUAUCCUCAGCACAGAUGAAGACGGGCAGAUGUGGCCAAGGUAUAACCUGGAAAGGGAUUAGUAUGCUCUUUUAUAUGAGUGACAACAUAUAAUGAAGUUUUGGAUAUAUACAAUUUUAAUAUAAGACAUAUUCCGAUUUAUAUAAGAUUUACUUAGCAAGGAUGCAUACAAUUGAUCAUUGUCAUUCCAGUCAUUUAAGUGACGUGCAGAUGUGUAUACUGGAAUAAGUCAAUCAAUCAAUCAGUACAUGCAUGCUGUUUAUUUGAACGUUCUAUACAGCAAAGAAUCCUAACAAAAAUGUAUCAGGAUUUCCAGUAUAUUAAAUAUUAAACUGUUUUCAACAUUUAUAAUUUUAAGAAAUGUUUAUUGAGAAGCAAAUCAGCAUAAUUGAAUGAUCUCUGAACAAUCAGGUGACACUGAAAAUUCUGAUUUCCCAUCACAGGAAUAAAUUACAUUUUAAAAUACAUCCAAAUAGAAAACAGUUAUUGUAAAUUGGAAUAAUAUUUCAUAAUAUCACUGUUUUACUGUGUUUUUUAAACAAAUAAAUGUAGCCUUCUUUUUCAAAAAACAUCUUACCGAUCUCAGACAUUUGAUCAGUAGUGCAUACGUUGUUAUACGUAUCUGGAACUCUGAUACUCUUGAAGUGAACUCACAGACGUGUUACUAUGUUUAUUAUGUGUGUAUGUUUCUGCUCAGGAGCUGACGCAGCAGCAGGAGAAAGUGCAGCUGUUGGAGAGAGGCCAGUGUCUGGCUCAGGAGCAGCUCUCAGAGAGAAAGCUCAGAGGAGACUCCAGGCAGAGCUCAAGAGAAUAACAGACAGUCUGGAAAGCACCCACCAGGAGCUACAGGACUCACGGUAAACUCAAAACCAGGAGGUCAGCCUGGUGAAUUAAACACCUGUGAGCAAAAAUGACAGCAUGCAGGUUGUUUACUUUCUCAGUAUUGCCUGUUUCCCAGUGUGCUUGAAUGCAGUUUAAGUGAUUAGUUGGACAGCAUAGAACAGCUGACAGCCUUCCAAACUCAGUUCCUCAGGAUGACACUCUCAUAUCACACUCAUAUUAAGGCUGCUAGUGAAGCUAUGAGCCGAUUAAUCCAAAUUUCUUAGCUUUAUUCUGCCUUCAAGUCAUGUCUGAAUGAUCGUAUUUACCAGAUGAGCGCACAUGAACACCACCACAAUGCCAGUAUUACCAAUGGAAAUCUUUGGAUUUUCUUUGAGCCCUGAUUUUCUGAGUUUGGGGCAGGUCUACUGUAAGCAUAUUUUAGGGUAAAUACAACUUAAGCUCUAUGGAUGGCAGCUGUCGAUUACCAAAGAAAAUGAUUUAGUAAUUUAAAAUGAAGGUUGUCAUUUAAAACUACAUUUCCCAUGAUGAUCUAUGGUAGCAUGAUAAUAGAGUGCAACAAUCAGGUUCCAGAAGUAAAAAUCCUAUUCAUUUCCUCCAUUGGAGAACUGAUUUUUAACCUUUACAGACAGGCCUACUGUGAGCUACAGUGUUGUUAAUCGAUGGAAUAUGCUUUUGUUGAAGCCGUCAGUGCAUAUUAUUACUGGUUAUUUUUUGAAUAAUCCCGUUUAACAACAGGAUUCUGGGUGAAAAACUACAUAACCCGUAUUUUUUAAAUGCGUCUUUGCUUAAAAUGAAAGUUUGUAAUGUUGCUAUGACUUUUUAAACCCCCAUGGACAGAAUACUCCUGGAACCAAGGGCACUGUUGCUUUCUAUGGCAGUCAUGAUAAAGUACAUCAGCACCAGUUACACAACUAAUACACAUUAUAUAGCUCUCGGUUUUGUGUUGCAGUUGCUAAAAAGCUUCUUUGGCUGAAAAAGAACAUGCAUUUUCUCUGAUCAGAUAGCUGUCCAAUCAGUAAAAGACCAUGUAUAAAUGCCCUCCAAAAUGCAUUCGAGGUGAAUUGCAAUCUGAUUGCACAAACCAUUUCAGGGUGUUGUUUGAUGGUGCUUUUACAGUACGUCUGUAGUUUGGUUCAUCUGAUCUGGACCAAGGACAAAAUUUAUACAUUGUAGCAUUUUCAGCUGUUUUGGUUCCUUUUCACACCACACUGAUUGCUGUGGUCCGAACCAGUUGAAACGAACCAAAAUGCAUUCACAUGACAACAUCCACUUGAC
rnacentral:lncRNA from 1 species